rnacentral:rRNA from 1 species
UAGGGAAUAUUAGAAAUGGACGAAAGUCUGAUCUAGCAACACCGCGUGUGCGAAGAAGGCCUUCGGGUCGUAAAGCACUUUUUGAGAGGAUGAGGAAGGACGGUACUCUCAGAAUAAGUCUCGGCUAACUACGUGCCAGCAGCCGCGGUAACACGUAGGAGGCAAACGUUAUCCGGAUUUACUGGGCGUAAAGCGCGUGUAGGUGGUUUGGUAAGUAGAGCGUGAAAGCUCCUGGCUCAACUGGGAGAGGUCGUUCUAAACUGCCGGACUAGAGGAUGGUAGAGGGAGGUGGAAUUCCGGGUGUAGCGGUGGAAUGCGCAGAUAUCCGGAGGAACACCAGUGGCGAAAGCGGCCUCCUGGACCACUCCUGACACUCAGACGCGAAAGCUAGGGUAGCAAACG